rnacentral:RNase_P_RNA from 3 species
GCAGCCGGACGUUCCGUCGCGGGUCGGCAUUAGCCGGCAUGAGGAAAGUCCGGGCAACACAGAGCACCAUGUUUCCUAACAGGAAGCCGGCAGCGAUGCCGGGGCAAGUGUGACAGAAAACGACCGCCACGAUCCUUCGGGCCGUGGUAAGGGUGAAAAGGCGGGGUAAGAGCCCACCGGGCUUCAUGGCGACAUGAGGCACCGCACAUCCCAUGGGUUGCAAGGCCAAGUAUACCGGCAUUCAAGGAUUGCUCGUCCAUUGCCGGGGGGUAGGCUGCUUGAGCCAUGCGGCAACGUAUGGCGUAGAUAAAUGACGGAACGGCCCUGAUGGCCCCCUCGGGGAAGUGUCAGGCCGACAUAACCCGGCUUACAGUCCGGCUGCAAAG